GACGAACGCUGGCGGCGUGCCUAAUACAUGCAAGUCGAACGCAGUGGGGACGGGUGAGUAACACGUGGGUAACCUCCCAUCAGAGGGGAGAAAACUUGGAAACAGGUGCUAAACCUAUGCUGCUGGAUGGACGCGCGGUGCAUUAGCUAGUUGGUGAGGUACCGGCUCACCAAGGCCACGAUGCAUAGGCGACCCGAGCGGGUGAUCGGCCACACUGGGAUUGAGACACGGCCCAGACUCCUACGGGAGGCAGCAGUAGGGAAUCUUCGGCAAUGGACGAAAGGCUGACCGAGCAACGCCGCGUGAGUGAAGAAGGUUUUCGGAUCGUAAAACUCUGUUGUUAGAGAAGCGGUAUCUAACCAGAAAGCCACGGCUAACUACGUGCCAGCAGCCGCGGUAAUAC
rnacentral:rRNA from 1 species